rnacentral:rRNA from 1 species
UGGGGAAUAUUGCACAAUGGGCGCAAGCCUGAUGCAGCCAUGCCGCGUGUAUGAAGAAGGCCUUCGGGUUGUAAAGUACUUUCAGUCGGGAGGAAGGUGGUAAGGUUAAUAACCUUAUCAAUUGACGUUACCCGCAGAAGAAGCACCGGCUAACUCCGUGCCAGCAGCCGCGGUAAUACGGAGGGUGCAAGCGUUAAUCGGAAUUACUGGGCGUAAAGCGCACGCAGGCGGUCUGUCAAGUCGGAUGUGAAAUCCCCGGGCUCAACCUGGGAACUGCAUUCGAAACUGGCAGGCUAGAGUCUUGUAGAGAGGGGUAGAAUUCCAGGUGUGGCGGUGAGAUGCGUAGAGAUCUGGAGGAAUACCGGUGGCGAAGGCGGCCCCCUGGACAAAGACUGACGCUCAGGUGCGAAAGCGUGGGGAGCAAACAGG